rnacentral:rRNA from 1 species
GAUGAACGCUGGCGGCGUGCCUAAUACAUGCAGGUCGAGCGAACAGACGAGGAGCUUGCUCCUCUGACGUUAGCGGCGGACGGGUGAGUAGCACGUGGAUAACCUACCUAUAAGACUGGGAUAACUUCGGGAAACCGGAGCUAAUACCGGAUAAUAUAUUGAACCGCAUGGUUCAAUAGUGAAAGACGGUUUUGCUGUCACUUAUAGAUGGAUCCGCGCCGCAUUAGCUAGUUGGUAAGGUAACGGCUUACCAAGGCAACGAUGCGUAGCCGACCUGAGAGGGUGAUCGGCCACACUGGAACUGAGACACGGUCCAGACUCCUACGGGAGGCAGCAGUAGGGAAUCUUCCGCAAUGGGCGAAAGCCUGACGGAGCAACGCCGCGUGAGUGAUGAAGGUCUUCGGAUCGUAAAACUCUGUUAUUAGGGAAGAACAAAUGUGUAAGUAACUAUGCACGUCUUGACGGUACCUAAUCAGAAAGCCACGGCUAACUACGUG